AUUGAACGCUGGCGGCAUGCCUAACACAUGCAAGUCGAACGGCAGCACGGGAGCUUGCUCCUGGUGGCGAGUGGCGGACGGGUGAGUAAUGCAUAGGAAUCUGCCCAGUAGCGGGGGACAACUUGGGGAAACUCAAGCUAAUACCGCAUGCGCCCUACGGGGGAAAGCGGGGGACCUUCGGGCCUCGCACUAUUGGAUGAGCCUAUGUCAGAUUAGCUUGUUGGUGGGGUAACGGCCUACCAAGGCGACGAUCUGUAGCUGGUCUGAGAGGACGAUCAGCCACACUGGGACUGAGACACGGCCCAGACUCCUACGGGAGGCAGCAGUGGGGAAUAUUGCACAAUGGGCGAAAGCCUGAUGCAGCAAUGCCGCGUGUGUGAAGAAGGCCUGCGGGUUGUAAAGCACUUUCAGUAGGGAGGAAACAGUAGCCGGUUAAUAUCCGGUUGCCUUGACGUUACCUACAGAAG
rnacentral:rRNA from 1 species